UCAGGGUCUGCGGAGGUUGUGCCCAGCGCGUCAGGCGCCCUGCGGCCACCGCUCAGGGUGCCCGGGGACCCCGCCCCUUCCGCCCCGGCUGCCUGUGCCUCUCACGCCCCCGCCCUCGGGCCCUCGGUGGGCGGGACCCCUAAUCCGCCCGCUGCUCAGGGCCCUCCUCAGGGUGCCCAGCUCUCCACCAGCGGCUCCAUCGUCGGCUUGGGACGCAGAUGGCCUCAGAGGUCACCACCGGGGAGCGCAGGGAGGGGGCCGCUGAGUGUCCAGGUCCUUGGGGGCCGCUCAGGGCUCGGCUGCCCUUCAUUCCCCCGCUGGUGGGUCCCGGGCCGCGUCCCCCUCGGCUUCCACCCCACCCCAUGAGGGGCCCUUUCCAGUUGUCUUCCCCACAAGCGUUUUCCCAGGGCCUCCGAUGCACCUGCCCUCAGCCUCGGCCCUCCGCCUUCUCUGCCGCCCUCCCCCAGUGCUCACCCACCCAGUGCUCACCCGCUGCAUCAGAACCCUGCUCCGCAGGAUACGGCCCUGCCGUCCUGCGGACUCUGCGUCCCCAGCGCCCACAGCAGAAACCGAGGGUUGUUGGUGCCGCGGUGGUCGAUGUCAUGGCACAGGCCGGCUGUCACCAUGGCGAAUGCCUCCAGGUCCGUGUAGUAGCUCUUCAGUUUGCCGGUCUGUAGAGACAGGGCCACCUUGCUCACCAGUCCUGGCUCCAGCAGGGUGGGGAGUGGUAAGGGGUUGGGAUGACCGAGGCAUCGGGUUGGAGGUUGGACCUCCGACCACCGCAGGGCUGGGGUGCGCGGUGCACGGUGUCAGAGGGCAUUGCCCUCCUCCAUCCUUCUGCCCUGGGAGGACCCCCAUCUCAUCCCUCGGGGUGCUUGAGUGCUGCCCUUGGUACCAGGAGGGCCUGCACAACCCUGGUGAUUCUGGCAGCCACGUACCAUGAGCAGUGUGAACAUCGUCUGGGCCACGUUGAAGCCGUGGCGCCAGUUGUGGUAGGUGAUUCUCCGGUACCCUUUGCUGAUGGAGAACAGGAACCGCACCAGGACCUGGGGGAGCCGAGAGGACACAGGGCUCCGGCGGCAAGCGUGUAAGUCCCGCCAGAGCGGCACCUGUGGCUGACUUCACGGUGGAAGCCCUGCUCCGUGCCAUCAUCCCCACACCCUGUCUCCUGGAUUUCCCAAUCUUCCCCGUCCCUGGGUUUCCCACUGGCCUCUGCUGGCCUUCCUGGGUAGGGGCUGCCACAUUGGCACCUAUGGGGUGGAGCCAGGCAGGGCAGGAGCUGAGAACAGCCCCAGCCUUCAGGGGCCGCCCAGCCUCCAUCCGACUGCCUGGCCUCAAGCUGGGAGGAGGACCCCUGGGGAUGCAGCAUAUUUUAAGAUGUUGGUUUUAGGCAUGGACAUUUGAAUGAGCAGAAUGUGUGGGCUGCAGGCUGGGGUGGGAGAGCCGAUGUCCGCAGGGCAAGAGAAUGCUGGUCUCUCUUGCCCUGCGGACAUCGCCAGGAGGCUCUUCCUGCGGCCAUUGUGAUUUUUAGGGUCAGAAAAUUAUUUGGAAAUAUUUUUUAUUCUGCAAAUAUUUUCUAUACAUUUUUUCUUGAGUGUUUUCCCUUAGUAUUUAGUAAAACUUCUUUUGAAAAUGCUGGCCUGCUGCACCUGUUCUCAGAGGGGCAUGAGAAAAGAGGAUUCUCUUCCUUGGGCUGUGGGAAGCCCCUUGAGAUGUUGGAAGCAGGGCAGGGCAGGAGAACCCAGGGAGGGCACAGAGCUGUGGACGAGGGCUGGGAAAGCCAUCCCGCCUCCCCAGGGGGUCUCCGAGGAGUGCUGCUGUGGCCAAACCAGGGGGCCCACUUUGUGCUUUCUGUUUAGGUGAUGGGAUGCUUCUAUCUCCUCAGCACCCCACACGAAAUCCCCUGUUAUUGCCAGAUGAUGUGCCUAAUGAUCAAAUUGCUUGGAACUCCUAAUAAUAAAACUUUAAAUCUAUCCAUUCACCAUCCAUCUGCUGUCCACCCAUUCAUUGACCCAUCUAUUAAUUCAUUAAUUGACCCACCUACUCAUCUAUCACUCAUCCACCCACUUCUCCAUCCAUCCACCUAUCCAUUCACUUAUCCAACCAUCCAACUACCAUUGGCCCACCCACCCUUCCAUCCAUUUAUCCAACCAUCCAACUACCAUUGGCCCACCCACCCUUCCAUCCAUUUAUCCAACCAUCCAACUACCAUUGGCCCACCCACCCAUCCAUCCAUCCAUUUAUCCAACCAUCCAACUACCAUUGGCCCACCCACCCUUCCAUCCAUCCAUUUAUCCAACCAUCCAACUACCAUUGGCCCACCCACCCAUCCAUCCAUCCAUUUAUCCAACCAUCCAACUACCAUUGGCCCACCCACCCAUCCAUCCAUCCAUUUAUCCAACCAUCCAACUACCAUUGGCCCACCCACCCAUCCAUCCAUCCAUUUAUCCAACCAUCCAACUACCAUUGGCCCACCCACCCAUCCAUCCAUCCAUUUAUCCAACCAUCCAACUACCAUUGGCCCACCCACCCAUCCAUCCAUUUAUCCAACUAUCCAACUACCAUUGGCAUCCACCCACCCAUUCAUUUAUUCUUUGUUUCUUUCUGCUUGCCUGUUUGCCUUCCUUCCUUCCUAACCUCCCUCCUUCCUCCCUGCUUUUCACCCACCCAGCCAUCCAUCAAUCCAGCCAUCCACCCAGCCAUCCAAUUAUUUGUUUUAUGCUUACUUCCCGUGUGCAUUUUACCUGUUCUGUGAUGAACAUGUCGGCCCUCUAAACUUCCUGUGGGAUCUGGAACCCCCAAUCCCAUCCCCCUCACCUUCUGGGGCACCUGAGGCCCUGAUCACAUCCCCACCCCCAUGUCCUGGGCGGCCUCAGGGACCUGACUAUGUGCCCUGCGGUGUCUCCCACCUCCUGGGGGAUCUGGAACUUUCGGACCACGCCCAGCUCGUAGUACAUCUGGAUGCCACAUUUGACCAGGUCCAGUUCGGUGCACUCCAGGUCAGAGAAGUGGAAUUCGUAGAUGUCAAAUGUGGUGGGCCCUGGCAGCUCCUCCUUCUGUGGGAGGGAUUGUGGGCUGAGGGAGGUUGGCCUGCCACAGCCCCCACUUGCUUCUCAUCCUUUCUUCUCUCCAGAUCCCCUGCCAAGCCUCAGACACCUCAGGCAUCUCUGAGAUGUGUCAUUCCUGGCGCUCCAGCCUGUAUCCCAGGCUGCUCACACGCCCCCCUGGCUCAGCCUCACUCUCCCCUCUUGUACCCUGUGGCCCAACAGUGAAGAACUUGCCCAGUUGGGUGGACAGGGUGAUGUUGUUGAAACAAGAAAACACAAAGGUGUGCACAUGAAAAGAAACACACACACACACACACGGAUACAGACACACGUGACACAGGCACACCUGGAUACACGGCCACUCCCAUGAAUACAAAGGCACUGGUGUGGACACACAGGCACACACAUGAGCACCCAGGCACACCCACAGACAUGCAGGCACACACGUGCAGACUCACGCAUGUAGGCUCACACACACAGCCAUGAGGUAACACACACAACAGUGGACUUUCAGACCCACCAGGCACAUUCCCAUGCUCAGUCCAAGGCCUACUCACAAGGCUCGUGGCCCCGGGAGAUUCUGGCUAAAUUGCAUAGGCAGACACAGGGUGAUGGGGACACCACAUAAUCCCCAUAUUGAUCCAGCAAUGGUCUCUAGGAGACACACACAAGCAUGUGUCUAUAUAUAUCCAUGUGCACACACAUGCAUACACAAUACACACCCCCCUGUGCACACGUGAGCACACACACAUGGGUGCACACGGGCACACACAAACGCCCAUGUGCACACACAUGCACACAUACUCGUGUGCACACAUGUGCAUAUUCAUACAAUGCACACAUGCACAUACCCACGUGCACACACAUGCACACCCACGUGCACGCAUACACACCCACAUGUGCACACAUGUACACACCUGUGCACACAGACACCCAUGUGUGCACACACCCACGUGUGCACACACACCUACAUGCACACACGUACACACUUAUGCACACACAGACACCCACAUGUGCACACACCCACGUGUGCACAUACCUACAUGCACACACACGUACACACUUGUGCACACAGACACCCACAUGUGCACACACAUGCACACAGACACCCAUGUGCGCGCACACAUGCGGAUGCACACACACUGAGAGUUGCAGGCACCUAGGCACUCUGACAGCAGAGAUGACAUAGAUGGACACAGAGUCCAAGUCAGGCCCACUAAACAUCCGGUGAAGACUAAACAUCUGGCAAAGCACAGAGGAGACAGGAAGACACGAAGAUACACUCAGGAGUGCAGACAUCAAAGCCACAUUCUGGCCAUGCAAACACACUCAGGGACACACUGGCUGAGACUGAAAGCCAGGCUUAUGUAGACACACGUACACUGAGGUGCUUAGAUACGCAAGUAUACACACACAGCACCAACAUCCCCGAUGACCGUGUGUGCAAAGCACCCUCGGGUCCCGGAGAAUGCAGAACUCUUCCUCCCAGCCUCACACAUGGCCGGCCUCCAUGGGAGGGACGGGAGCAAGGUUCUUACCAGGAUUUCGCCCAGCUCGUCCUCAUCACAGUCAGCAGGCUCCUUCCCCAGGCGCACUCUGGUUGGCUACACAGAGACACAGAUGUGUCACGAGAAAGAGCUUCGCAUGUGGGACAAGGUGACGGCGGUGCGUCCACCCCGUGGGAGCUGGAGGAAGGUGCUGUCAAGAGCUCGUGCUUUCACCCUGGGAAGGCCCUGGCAGCCUCUGAUCUGGAGACAAAUGACCGUGUGCACGGCCUGCUGACUUUCCCACCUGUCCUCUCUCGGGCACUGCCUUACGCAGUCCUCAGGUAUAAUGAUGGGACUCUCUCAUGAUGACCAGGAGGACUCUGGCCAUGCAAGGCCCCUGGCUGGGGAGAUUGAGCACAGGGAAGGGAUGCCAGGGCCGUGCAGACAGAGGGACCUCGGGGGCAUGCCAGGGCUGUACUCAGCUCUGGCCCCAGGGCCGUGUCCCCACCACAGAGAGCUGCGACCCCUGGGUAACCUGGCCGCCCACUGCACAGAGGGAGCUGUGACCCCUGGGUGACCUGCCCCACACAGCUGUGACCCCUGGGUGACCUGCCCCCACCGCACAGCCGUGACCCCUGGACGACCUGCCCCGCACACCUGUGACCCCUGGGUGACCUGCCCCCGCCACACAGCCAUGACCCUUGGGUGACCUGCCCCGCACACCUGUGACCCCUGGGUGACCUGCCCCCGCCACACAGCCAUGACCCUUGGGUGACCUGCCCCGCACACCUGUGACCCCUGGACGACCUGCCCCCGCCGCACAGCCGUGACCCCUGGUGACCUGUCCCUGCCACAGAUCCAUGACCCCUGGGUGACCUGCCCCCGCCACACAGCCGUGACCCCUGGCGACUUGCCCCCACCACACAGCCAUGACCCCUGGUGACCUGUCCCCACCGCACAGCUGUGACCCCUGGCGACCUGCCCCCGCUGCACAGCCAUGACCUCUGGGUGACCCCUGGAUGGACCCCUGGAUGACCUGCCCCCACCACACAGCCAUGACCCCUGGGUGAGCCCUGGAUGACCUGCCUCUGCUGCACAGCCAUGACCCCUGGGUGACCCCUCAAUGGACCGCUGGACGACCUGCCCCUGCCACACAGCCAUGACCCCUGGGUGACCCCUGGACGACCUGCCCCUGCCGCACAGCCGUGACCCCUGGGUGACCCCUGGACGACCUGCCCCCACCACACAGCCGUGACCCCUGGACGACCUGCCCCCGCCACACAGCCGUGACCCCUGGGUGACCCCUGGACGACCUACCCCCACCGCACAGCCGUGACCCCUGGGUGACCCCUGGAUGCCCUGCCCCCGCCGCACAGCCGUGACCCCUGGGUGACCCCUGGAUGUCCUGCCCCUGCCGCACAGCCAUGACCCCUGGGUGACCCCUGGACGACCUGCCCCGCCGCACCAGGAUGAGCUGGAUCUCGUCCCUGUCGCACUUCACGUGGUAAAGGACCAUGUCCUGUGCGAUGUCCUUGCGGUUUUCCAGCUUGUUCAUCUUGUCGUAGGUGUCGGUGUUCAUCACUGACCAGCCCAGGAACUGUGUCAGGGACUGGAGGGGAUGGCAGUGUCACUGGCGCUCAGCGCUCCCGGCGCGCCCCCUCCCAUGUGCCUGUGUGCCAGGCCCCGUGGCUCAGUGGGCAGGUCCUGGGGCUGCCACCAUGGUGUCGCAGUGCUUCUGUGUGGGGUCUCCCGGGUGCUCUGCAGAGUCUCCUGCUCCCGGGGGGGGCCCUUUGUCAUCCUCUCCCUGGCCGCACGCACACAGCACACACACGAGCACACAUACAGCCGAAUGCUUGGCGGGGAGGCCCCCACACCGCACAGGCCCCACCCCUCGCAGGGCAUCCCCGGUGGAACCACGUCUGCCCAGGUGCUUACCUCCAUGAGAACCUCGUCCUGUUCGUCAAAGGGCUUCCCGUCUUUCCUGUUGUAAAAUGUGGCGACUCCCACAAUCUCCUCCUUCUUGUUGACGAUGGGCAUGGACAGCACAUUCUUGAUGAGCCACCCGGAGUCAUCCAGGGCCCCUUCCUGCGGGAGCGGUGUCCAGAGCUGAGCUCCGCCCUGAGGCUGGCCCUGGCCCGGGCGUGUGGCCGGGGAGAGUGACCUCACGUCUUCUCCCCUAGAGCCUGACGACUGGGCUCGUGUUCCUGUCUCUGCUCUCUGCAUUCCCUCUCUCUCUGCAUUUGGAGUUUGUGUCCAUGGUUUUUGUGUCAUGAUAUUUUCCCACUGGAGGAGGCACGGACAGAUACCUGAAAUUUGAACAUUUCGUCAGCGGAAGCAUUCAUGAUGUUACAAAUCUGAAAAAGCACCAGAAAAACGAUUUCAUCCAAAGCAGCGGAAGGUCUGUUAUGAUCUAAAAUGGCCUCUGUGGCCCUGAGGUGAGCUUUUAAGUAGGUAAAGCAGGGCAGCUGGGGGCUUCACUGAGGCACGUGGAGGCUGGCCGGGAGGGCGGGACGUGGGGCUUGCUGAGGCAGGUGGAGGCUGGCCGGGAGGGCGGGACGUGGGGCUUGCUGAGGCAGGUGGAGGCUGGCCAGGAGGGCGGGACGUGGCAGAGACAAGGAGAAGCACACGUCGCCACACCCAGUGAGGGCAAGGCUGUGGGGGCUCCAGACAGCACAGGACUCACAAAGCCGCUUUCUGCCACGUAGCUUGGAAGGCCGCUGGCCAGGGCCCAGUGAUCGGCUGGGGGUGUGCUGUGGGCAGAGAGCAGGGGUCAGAUAGGCCACGCCGGGCUGGAUGUGUGCGUGCAGGAGUCAGAUGGACUGGAUGUGUGUGUGCAGGGGUGAGAGGGGCCGGGCUGGACUGCACGUGUGUGUGCAGGGGUCAGAGGGGCUGGGCCGGGCUGGACUGCAUGUGUGUCUGCAGGGGUGAGGGGCCAGGCUGGGCUGGACGUGUAUGUGCAGGGGUGAGAGGGGCUGGUCUGGGCUGCACGUGUGUGUGCAGGGGUCAGAGGGGCCAGACUGCGCUGGAUGUAGGUGUACUGGGGUCAGAUGGACUGGGCGUGUGUGCAGGGGUCUGGGGGUCUCUGGCUCAUGUGCCAUCCUCAGCAUUUACUCUCUUCUCUGAGUGCCAGGGGGUUCAGGAGGUGAGGAGGCCAGGGUGUGGGUUGGAGGACGGCUGUGCUGCCUUCUUCCUCCUCCCCAGGCUGCCGUGCUGGGGCCCCUCCCUCUUGGGAACCCCUCCCUCUCCGGAGGCCGUAUGGCUUCAGCCUGCUUUCUAGGACUCAGCGUUGGUGCCUGCCCUGCCACCCUGACCCUGACUUGUGCUCAAGCCUGGCACCUGGAUCCCGGUUCCUGCUUGGGGCCUGGGGAUGGGGUCCCAAUAGGCUUAUGGGACCACAGGGCCACUGGGCCACCAGCUGCUCCUCCCUUGGCUGGAGUCCUGCCCUGACCUCCAGACUGGAGUUCCCCUCCUCUUCCAGCCCCACGGGGCCAAGACUCGGCCUCCUGGCUGGAGGCUCCACUGUCUGGGUGGGGCUGGUGGCGCCAGGGUCAAAUCCUGGGGCCUUCAUGCUCAAUUGUUGCUGACGAGGCCGCCUGGACAGCUUGCCUGGUCCCCUGGAUGUCCACUCUGGAUGUCCACAGUGACUCACUCUCCUCAGCGGCCCACGUCCUCCUCACCAUCUCCCAGAACAGAGGCCCACGGAGUACCGCUCGCAGUUGAGGUAGGCCCGCACCGUGUAGAAGGCCUUGUGGAACUGCCUCUCAAUGUCCGUCAGCUCCUCAAACACCUUGUUGGCCGACCACAGCAGCACCUGGAGGGAGGGGCACACCUGUGGGCCUUCGGCCACUCCCACCCUCACACCUGUCUGACUACAGCAGCAGGGGUUUAACUCAAGCCUGACACAGGUUUCAUCUGAGCUUGUGGGGCCCGGGAGCCGGCUGGCGGUGAGGCCUCGAGGCUGCGGUCGUGUCCCUGAUCACUCAGGAGUGGACGAGUGGAAAGUGGAAUCCGUCGCUUUGAGCUUGACAGGCAAACAUCCGACCAGCCCUUCCUCCGCCCGGCUGCUCCAGAACCACCUACGGCGAGCAGGGCUUUGAGAACAUCGGGCCGUGGUUUCCGGACGUCAGGCCCCCCGUGGCCUCCGCCAAGCGUCUGAGACUGAAGCAUUGCUGACGCACUCCACGAGGUCCUGGCCAGACCCCGCUCAGGACAUCCCACUGCACAGGCCCCUGGUUGUUGGGUCAGCGCUGCCGCCAGGCUCAGACUCACCCCAGGGCCCUCCUUGGGCCCCCUUUCUCUGCCUCCUGGCUCAGACUCACCCCAGGGCCCUCCUUGGGCCACCUUUCUCUGCCUCCUUGGUCAAGGCCCAGACCCAGGCCCCGCCAGGCCUCCUCACACUCACGGUGGCCGCUGGGUCUUCUACCGCAUGGUGCCAGCUCCCUCUCCUCCACUGCGGUGUCCUAGCCCAGCUCUCUCCCUGCCAGGCCCUCUGAAGUUCCACCCCCUGGCACUCAGCUCAUGGCGGGAACAGGACCAGGCUCUCCUGUUGCCAAGGGCAGUGAGAUGUUCGUAGCUUUAUUUCCCAGUACAUUGAUUUUACUGAUUUUAGUUUAUCUUCAGUUGAAUAAUUGUGUGUAUUGAUGGGGUUUAUGUUUUAUGGGGUUUGGUGUGAUGUUCUGAUGUACGUAUUUGUUGCAGAAAGAUUCAGUUAAGCUAAUCAACAUAUCCAUCACCUCACCAACUUGUUUUUUUGUGGUGAGAACAUUACAAAUCUAUUUUCUAGCAAUUUGGUAUACAAUACAGUCAUCCCUCGGCAUCCUCAGGGAAAUUGGUUCCAGGACGCCGCUCUGAUAACAAAAUCCGAGGAUGUUCAAGUCCCGGAUGUGAAAUGGCGUAGAGUUUGCACAGAGGUUGCACAUGCACCCCCAGGACUUCAAACCAUCUCCGAUGACUUAGCACCCAGUGCAAGGCAAGGCCAUGAAAACGGCUGUUCUACUGUAUUGUUUUACAUUCUUAUUUUUAAUUUAAAACUUUUCCCACAUCAUAAAUCCUCGGAAGCAGAACUGCACUUACCGAGCACCCUGUGUACUGUGGUUAACGGCAGUGGUGGCCGCCACACAGCGCGGCUGACCUUGAAGCCCACAGCUGCAGCUAACGAACGCUUUGCACCCUUUCACCAACGUCUCUGCUUUCUCUAUCUCUCUUCCUGCCCCGGCCUCCUGCAACCCCCUUUCCACUCUCUGUUUCCAUGA